UUAAGCGACUAAGCGUACACGGUGGAUGCCCUGGCAGUCAGAGGCGAUGAAGGACGUGCUAAUCUGCGAAAAGCGUCGGUAAGGUGAUAUGAACCGUUAUAACCGGCGAUGUCCGAAUGGGGAAACCCAGUGUGAUUCGUCACACUAUCGUUAACUGAAUACAUAGGUUAACGAGGCGAACCGGGGGAACUGAAACAUCUAAGUACCCCGAGGAAAAGAAAUCAACCGAGAUUCCCCCAGUAGCGGCGAGCGAACGGGGAGCAGCCCAGAGUCUGAAUCAGCUUGUGUGUUAGUGGAACGGUCUGGAAAGUCCGACGGUACAGGGUGAUAGUCCCGUACACCAAAAUGCACAGGCUGUGAACUCGAAGAGUAGGGCGGGACACGUGGUAUCCUGUCUGAAUAUGGGGGGACCAUCCUCCAAGGCUAAAUACUCCUGACUGACCGAUAGUGAACCAGUACCGUGAGGGAAAGGCGAAAAGAACCCCGGCGAGGGGAGUGAAAAAGAACCUGAAACCGUGUACGUACAAGCAGUGGGAGCACCUUCGGGUGUGACUGCGUACCUUUUGUAUAAUGGGUCAGCGACUUAUAUUCUGUAGCAAGGUUAACCGUAUAGGGGAGCCGCAGGGAAACCGAGUCUUAACUGGGCGUUAAGUUGCAGGGUAUAGACCCGAAACCCGGUGAUUCAGCCAUGGGCAGGUUGAAGGUUGGGUAACACUAACUGGAGGACCGAACCGACUAAUGUUGAAAAAUUAGCGGAUGACUUGUGGCUGGGGGUGAAAGGCCAAUCAAACCGGGAGAUAGCUGGUUCUCCCCGAAAGCUAUUUAGGUAGCGCCUCGUGAACUCAUCUUCGGGGGUAGAGCACUGUUUCGGCUAGGGGGUCAUCCCGACUUACCAACCCGAUGCAAACUACGAAUACCGAAGAAUGUUAUCACGGGAGACACACGGCGGGUGCUAACGUCCGUCGUGAAGAGGGAAACAACCCAGACCGCCAGCUAAGGUCCCAAAGUCAUGGUUAAGUGGGAAACGAUGUGGGAAGGCACAGACAGCCAGGAUGUUGGCUUAGAAGCAGCCAUCAUUUAAAGAAAGCGUAAUAGCUCACUGGUCGAGUCGGCCUGCGCGGAAGAUGUAACGGGGCUAAACCAUGCACCGAAGCUGCGGCAGCGACACUAUGUGUUGUUGGGUAGGGGAGCGUUCUGUAAGCCUGCGAAGGUGACCUGUGAGGGUUGCUGGAGGUAUCAGAAGUGCGAAUGCUGACAUAAGUAACGAUAAAGCGGGUGAAAAGCCCGCUCGCCGGAAGACCAAGGGUUCCUGUCCAACGUUAAUCGGGGCAGGGUGAGUCGACCCCUAAGGCGAGGCCGAAAGGCGUAGUCGAUGGGAAACAGGUUAAUAUUCCUGUACUUGGUGUUACUGCGAAGGGGGGACGGAGAAGGCUAUGUUAGCCGGGCGACGGUUGUCCCGGUUUAAGCAUGUAGGCUGGUUGUCCAGGCAAAUCCGGAUAAUCAAGGCUGAGGUGUGAUGACGAGGCACUACGGUGCUGAAGUAACAAAUGCCCUGCUUCCAGGAAAAGCCUCUAAGCAUCAGGUAACAUCAAAUCGUACCCCAAACCGACACAGGUGGUCAGGUAGAGAAUACCAAGGCGCUUGAGAGAACUCGGGUGAAGGAACUAGGCAAAAUGGUGCCGUAACUUCGGGAGAAGGCACGCUGGUGUGUAGGUGAAGUCCCUGCGGAUGGAGCUGAGACCAGUCGAAGAUACCAGCUGGCUGCAACUGUUUAUUAAAAACACAGCACUGUGCAAACACGAAAGUGGACGUAUACGGUGUGACGCCUGCCCGGUGCCGGAAGGUUAAUUGAUGGGGUUAUCCGUAAGGAGAAGCUCUUGAUCGAAGCCCCGGUAAACGGCGGCCGUAACUAUAACGGUCCUAAGGUAGCGAAAUUCCUUGUCGGGUAAGUUCCGACCUGCACGAAUGGCGUAAUGAUGGCCAGGCUGUCUCCACCCGAGACUCAGUGAAAUUGAACUCGCUGUGAAGAUGCAGUGUACCCGCGGCAAGACGGAAAGACCCCGUGAACCUUUACUAUAGCUUGACACUGAACAUUGAGCCUUGAUGUGUAGGAUAGGUGGGAGGCUUUGAAGCGUGGACGCCAGUCUGCGUGGAGCCAACCUUGAAAUACCACCCUUUAAUGUUUGAUGUUCUAACGUUGGCCCCUUACCGGGGUUGCGGACAGUGUCUGGUGGGUAGUUUGACUGGGGCGGUCUCCUCCCAAAGCGUAACGGAGGAGCACGAAGGUUAGCUAAUCCUGGUCGGACAUCAGGAGGUUAGUGCAAUGGCAUAAGCUAGCUUGACUGCGAGCGUGACGGCGCGAGCAGGUGCGAAAGCAGGUCAUAGUGAUCCGGUGGUUCUGAAUGGAAGGGCCAUCGCUCAACGGAUAAAAGGUACUCCGGGGAUAACAGGCUGAUACCGCCCAAGAGUUCAUAUCGACGGCGGUGUUUGGCACCUCGAUGUCGGCUCAUCACAUCCUGGGGCUGAAGUAGGUCCCAAGGGUAUGGCUGUUCGCCAUUUAAAGUGGUACGCGAGCUGGGUUUAGAACGUCGUGAGACAGUUCGGUCCCUAUCUGCCGUGGGCGCUGGAGAAUUGAGGGGGGCUGCUCCUAGUACGAGAGGACCGGAGUGGACGCAUCACUGGUGUUCGGGUUGUCAUGCCAAUGGCACUGCCCGGUAGCUAAAUGCGGAAGAGAUAAGUGCUGAAAGCAUCUAAGCACGAAACUUGCCCCGAGAUGAGUUCUCCCUGAGACUUUAAGUCUCCUGAAGGAACGUUAAAGACGAUGACGUUGAUAGGCCGGGUGUGUAAGCGCAGCGAUGCGUUGAGCUAACCGGUACUAAUGAACCGUGAGGCUUAACCU
rnacentral:rRNA from 1 species